rnacentral:rRNA from 1 species
AACGAACGCUGGCGGCAGGCUUAACACAUGCAAGUCGAACGCAUCCUUCGGGGUGAGUGGCAGACGGGUGAGUAACGCGUGGGAACGUGCCCUUCAGUUCGGGAAAACCCAGGGUAACUUGGGCUAAUACCGGAUACGUGCGAGAGAAGACAGAUUUAUCGCUGAAGGAUCGGCCCGCGUCUGAUAAGCUAGUUGGUGGGGUAAUGGCCCACCAAGGCGACGAUCAGUAGCUGGUCUGAGAGGAUGAUCAGCCACAUUGGGACGGUGACACGGCCCAAACUCCUACGGGAGGCAGCAGUGGGGAAUAUUGGACAAUGGGCGCAAGCCUGAUCCAGCCAUGCCGCGUGAGUGAUGAAGGCCUUAGGGUUGUAAAGCUCUUUCGUCCGGGACGAUAAUGACGGUACCGGAAGAAGAAGCCCCGGCUAACUUCGUGCCAGCCGCCGCCGUAA